CUCAAAAGGUCCUUUUUGAGAAGGAAUCCAAACACCCACUUAAUUCCCCCUUUCAUAUAUGAAAUCCUCCGAAUAUUAUCAUCAGUUUCUUCAGCUCAAUCGUUCUCUUCAAUUAGCCUUUAUGAUUGAAUCUCUACAACCGCAAAGAAUUCAAUUCUUUCUGUAGAAUGUAAUCUAUAAGACGCUCUUCAGACGGUUUUCAUCACCAUCGCGUUGAAUGCGCUCUUCGUCACCACUGCAGCCCCUUCGUUUCCAGCCCCACCCCCUUAUUACUCGGCAAUUGAAUGCCUUUGUUGGUGGAGAAGGUUCGUUUUGGGUGAAUAAUGUUGUUUUCGACGAGCGGUGGUUUGGUUCAUGCUUGGUUUUCGGUGGCUACAAAUGAAAUUGGCAGUGAUGGUCAGACAUUAGCAUAGAUUCAGGCCAGUUCCGGUCACGCCAAUAAGUACGGCUGAAUCCAUUCCGGUGACCUUGAAUUUAAGAACACUAAAAUCCAAAAUCAUCCCUGACACGAUUAAGGUAACCGCAGUUUCCAGUGUUAAUAAACUUUUCAAUUAUAGUUAUGUUAUUUUUGGUUACUUGAACACUUUCUACGGAACCUUUCAAUUUUUUUACAAUGAUCAUCUCUGUUGUCUAUCGUAAAUAUUUGUAAUAAUUAGUUUUCUUGCUUUCGUUCUAUAUAAAAGUAACAGAUAAUUUAUGUGGUUGUUAUGGUGAACUAUCUUUCUGCACACAUAAAAAGCCGUUAAUCUCGCCACAGAGAAGGGCCCUUAUGAUUGAACUCAGGUGUGGGAGUAUCGGGAGGGAAUAAUGAGUGUGAAAGAGAGCCAGUGUAGUUGUGAGGUUGCUUGAAGGUAUUGAAUGCUUUUUCCUGUACGAGGAGAAGUAUUAUUUACAAUGGUCAGACAGCUUUGGACUAUUUGUCAUAAAUGGUGUGACAAAUCUUGUUGCAUGUUGUCUCGAUGAUUACAUGGCCAGGUAAACAUUAAAGUUCUUAUGUUUACCCAUUUCGUAGUAAAGUAAGUUAUUUAUGAUCUGUUUUGCCAAAUAAACAAAAAUAACAUUAUGCACUCAUGUGAUGAUGAUUCAUAGUAAUAAUUAAUAACAUUGCCAUCCUAUACUUUAAUUCGUGAAACAACGUAUAAGUAACUUUUAUUAACUGUGCAAGGGGUAAAAAAGAGAAUUUUAGUCAUUUGAAAUGCUAACAAUAAAGUUUUGAAGGGUAAUAUGAAAGUGCUCCUAAUAUCAUGUAUUAAGAAAUGAGUGAUGGUGCCAUGAUGCGAUAAGUUAAGCUUCAUAUAAGGUUAUCAUUAAUUUCUUUCUUAUUUUAUCAUAUUCUUAGUAUGCUCCCAUUUGAAACCAAUACUCUCAUUUUUCUUGAACUUUUUACUUGCAGUCUGUUAGCUAUGGUGGUCAAAUUAUAAUUGAGGAAAUUUUUAAGUCAUGUUCAGGCGGACCCGUGGCAACGAACAGUUGAGCCCAGCUGUAAGUAUAAUGCCUUUUCAUCGUUCUGUUUGGUGACCAUUGUACUCUUGCUGCAGGUAUGCUGCUGUUUUUGCAGCUUUAGUUUCUUGUUUGGCUUGCUUGGUUGGGAUUGACUUUGGUUCAAAGCUGCCCGCUUCACUUGCGAAGGUAUGUAAAAAGUUACCAGGAAAGAGAGAAGUUGGAGCACAGGUACUAAAUCAUCGUUUGGCCUUGUGAUUGAUUACAAGGGAAGAAUAAUGUGUUGUAUUCAAUGAUGGAUUUGUUUUUCUUGAUUUUAAGAAACAUUGUUGGAUAUGUUAAGGUGUUCUUAAGUUGUUUGCUACAUAUAUCACCUUGAAUAAGACAAAUUUUGUAAUCUAUUAUCAGCAUGAAUCAUGAGAGUGAAUGUGUGAUGGCUA